rnacentral:rRNA from 1 species
GCCGGCAGCCAUAUCAUCCUGCAAUUCACAACUGGCAACCCACUGAAGCUCAGCAGGUGUGAGCCUGGUCAGUACCUGGAUGGGAGACUCCUGGGAAAAACUAAGGUUGCUGCUGGAA